ACGGCAGUUCCACAGAACAUUCCAUUUCACAGAGGCUCUAGGAAGGAUUCAUGUUGUAACUGCUGUCACUGCAAUCAGUUGGUGGUUCAGCCUUGAAACGUGCACUUGGCCUUCUAUAAAGCGCUGUUUUGUUUGCCUUUCAUUGCUAUGAGUCUUGAUAAAUUGGAGAAGAGCCCAAGAGAAAUUUUUCAUCCCUUGAUAUAAAAGGGAUCGGUGAAUUUUAACUUUGGAGUCCUCUAUGCUAAGGAUGCUCAGCUUACAGAUGAUGAAAUGUUCAGUAAUGGUGAGUUUUUCACGUUCUCUUUAAUUGCUGUGCUGAUCUGAAUAAGAAAAAAACAAAAGCAAGAGGGAAAAAAAAGGAUGGUUUAUUAUUUUUUACGCUGUUAUGUUUGUUUCCUCAGUAUUUGCUGCAGCUCUGCUUACCCAAGCUUUGUGUUCCUUCUGUCCCACUGGGAGUUGCCCAGUUUGGUUGCAUCUGGUGAAAUUCACCCUGAGACCUUACACAACUAGCUCAAACUACGUGAGAGCCAUUUGCAGUUCUCUCCAGACACCUGGAGAAUGGGUGACGUUUCUGAGGGUCUGGCAAGUGUACUUCUAUCAAAACUCAGUCUGUGAAGUUUCUGGGGAAAACCCUUCUGUGUCCUGAAGGGUUCAAACUCCUGUGAGGAUCCAUUUAUCAGGUGCUCACCUGGAUGGUUCCAGCUCUUAAAGUGAACACUUGUACUCUUACCCUGUAGUUUACAUCUAUUGUAUUUUUGUUAUUUUGCAAGAUUUUUUGUCUUUGCAAAAUAUUGUGCAUUUCACUCUUUGGAACCUCUCAGAUGGUUCUUUGGUGCAGCACCACCCCAUGGGACACUUGGCUGCUGUCCUGAAGGGGAUGGUCGCUAGAAUUGUAAAUUCUGGAGAGUUUAUAAGUCUUCUGUCCCCAGGGAGGUACCAUGCUUUGUUUACUUUUGUUCUGUUUGUUAGGCGCUGCUUCUCGUUGCAAGUAUGAAUUUCAAACUGCCCUGUUCUUAUUUUAACUGUUUUCCUGGUUCUCUCCGUCCGACAGGGAAAGACUCUCAUAUCCUCGUCGUCGGGCUCGGUGCUGUCCAAGAAGAUACAGAGACUAAAAAAAUCAUAAGCAGCAAAAUAUGACUGCAGGGAAAAGAAGCUGGAGAGAACAGAAGGCUGCCAUUUGUGUGCCAUCGGUACUCACCAUGGAAGCGAGCUGGGGAUUGUUGCACCCGUUGGGAACAAACCGCUUCUUGUCACACAGAAAUGGAAUUGGGACGACGCCUCGGCCAGCCCCUCUCUGCCAUCGUCUCCUGAAUCUGCAGCAGAGCAGUUCCAGUCCAUCCGGGCACGUGCAAUCCAGUUCCUGAUGAUCUGAGCACACGGAGCAGCGCUCAGCUGCUGUGGGGGGCUCAGGGAAGGCAGUGUGUGCAUUGUCAUCUUCCUGAACCUACAGACAAAUCAAAACCCUCAGUGAGCAGAAUUUGUUGCAGACUCAGUGCACGCUGUGCCGGCCUCCCGGGAGUGUGAGGAGCUCAUGUGUGCUACUUUUUGCUUUAGGACGCUCUGAGGUAUUUAUUCCUUUUGGGAUACGUGAUGAGAAUUCCCAAGAGAGGUAGUUAUAAGGUAUGACAUUGGGAAAAAGCCUGUGUGGUUGGAAUGUUGUUGCUGUCAAAAGUUAAUUUUUCCUUCAUUCUUAGCCAGUAGUUAGCUUUUUGCUUUAUUUUUGUGGUAUCAGUAUUUUAUUGUUUAAAAAAUUCCUUCAAAAUAACUUCAGUGGUCGCCCACCAGUACCUUGUUCAGAUUUGCCUAUUUGCUUGUAGCUGAAAUGUUCACAUCUUGAUUAUCAUUCUAUUUAAGAAACUGCUGCCCAGCCAACUAAUAACUGAAUAUCCAUCUGUCUAGGACACGGGGAGAGGAUUUAGGUAAUGUCUUUGUUUCCAGAAAAAAGUUCCAGUGUACUUUCUAAACAGAGGAGAAGGGGGUGAAGACUCUGGGCUCUGAUGCCGUUGGGGCACCCCAAGGUCCCCAGGAGAGGGAGCCCCACUGCGGUGCAGGAGCAGGUGUGUUCUCAUCUAAUAUUGAACAAAUUAUAAAUAUGAAAAUUAUAAACAUGAAAAUAUUUUUAAAAUACUUAAAUAAAGCAGGUUUUCUUUAUUGGUCAAUAGGCAGGGUUUUGAUUGUAAAAAUUAUAAAUACAAAUAAUAUAAAGGUAGAAAUCUAAGUUUAGAAAUAUAUAAUAAAUACAUACAGAUAAAUAUAAAAAUUAAAAAUAUAAGAAAAAAUUAGU